CAGUCGCCGCGGUAAUACAGAGGGUGCGAGCGUUAAUCGGAUUUACUGGGCGUAAAGCGUGCGUAGGCGGCUUCUUAAGUCGGAUGUGAAAUCCCUGAGCUUAACUUAGGAAUUGCAUUCGAUACUGGGAAGCUAGAGUAUGGGAGAGGAUGGUAGAAUUCCAGGUGUAGCGGUAAAAUGCGUAGAGAUCUGGAGGAAUACCGAUGGCGAAGGCAGCCAUCUGGCCUAAUACUGACGCUGAGGUACGAAAGCAUGGGGAGCAAACAGGAUUAGAUACCCGCGUAGUCCCUGUCUCUUAUAA
rnacentral:rRNA from 1 species